GCGAAGGCAACUCCUGGAGCGUGAACUAAGAAGAGUACACGUAAUAAAUACAAGAAAUGAAUGGAUUGAUUCCAUACCAGAGCCUGAAAAUGGGAUGGUCAUUCAGUUUAAAUAUCCUGAUGGUGGCUUUAAAAGGAGGCGCUUCCUACCAAGUCAGCUAUUUCAGGAUUUAGUUGCCUUUGCAGGUAAUGUAGACAUGGCCAGUGAAAUAUUUUCACUCCAGAAAGCUAUGUCUCCUAUCUCAAUCCUGAGUACCCAAAGAGGUUCACUAGCAGACAAUGGAAUCACUGCACAGUGUACUUUGUACAUUCUGUGGAUGUCAGGGGAUGAGGUGGAGGUGAGUUCCCAUUGUAUGUAAUUCUCUGCGAGGGGAUCAUUAUGUUUACUGUAUUCGUUGUAUCGUUUUUAGCCAUUUUAAGUAAGCCUUCAUAU